rnacentral:rRNA from 1 species
UACGGGGGGGGCAAGCGUUGUUCGGAAUUACUGGGCGUAAAGGGCUCGUAGGCGGCCAACUAAGUCAGACGUGAAAUCCCUCGGCUUAACCGGGGAACUGCGUCUGAUACUGGAUGGCUUGAGGUUGGGAGAGGGAUGCGGAAUUCCAGGUGUAGCGGUGAAAUGCGUAGAUAUCUGGAGGAACACCGGUGGCGAAGGCGGCAUCCUGGACCGGUAUUGACGCUGAGGCGCGAAAGCCAGGGGAGCAAACGGG